rnacentral:rRNA from 1 species
UACGGAGGAUGCAAGCGUUAUCCGGAAUUAUUGGGCGUAAAGCGUCCGCAGGUGGCACUUCAAGUCUGUCGUCAAAGCCCGGGGCUUAACCCUGGAAAGGCGAUGGAAACUGAAAGGCUAGAGAGAGGUAGGGGUAGAGGGAAUUCCCAGUGUAGCGGUGAAAUGCGUAGAGAUUGGGAAGAACAUCGGUGGCGAAAGCGCUCUACUGGACCUCAUCUGACACUCAGGGACGAAAGCUAGGGGAGCGAAUGGG